AGCGAACGCUGGCGGCAGGCCUAACACAUGCAAGUCGAACGAACCUUUCGGGGUUAGUGGCGGACGGGUGAGUAACACGUGGGAACGUGCCUUUAGGUUCGGAAUAACUCAGGGAAACUUGUGCUAAUACCGAAUGUGCCCUUCGGGGGAAAGAUUUAUCGCCUUUAGAGCGGCCCGCGUCUGAUUAGCUAGUUGGUUGAGGUAAUGGCUCACCAAGGCGACGAGCAGUAGCUGGUCUGAGAGGAUGAUCAGCCACAUUGGGACUGAGACACGGCCCAAACUCCUACGGGAGGCAGCAGUGGGGAAUCUUGCGCAAUGGGCGAAAGCCUGACGCAGCCAGGCCGCGUGAAUGAUGAAGGUCUUAGGAUUGUAAAAUUCUUUCACCGGGGACGGUAAGGACGGUACCCGGAGAAGAAGCCCCGGCUAACUUCGU
rnacentral:rRNA from 1 species